GACUACCUUUUCUCCGGAUGUUCGGUUUUGUUUCCUCCUUCAGCCUAUUUCUUGGACCCUUUUGAGAGACUCCCUUCCUCCUUUGCCCCCUUUUCGGGCCACAUCAGGCGGGAGGCUUCCAGAAAGUCGACAAGUCAUCUUUAGGUGCAGGGGAGUCAGACUUCAGGAAGACCAACUCAAAUAUUUGGCAUUUAAAGGAAUUUCAAGUUUUUAAAAGAAAGGUCUUUGAAUUCUACAGGAGACAUUUGGGAAAACUUUUCACUUAUGAAUUUUCCUUGUUCCACUGGUCCAGCUUGCAGAAUUUGCCUGCUUGGGCUUGGGAGAAGGCAAGGAGAAGCCAGAGUGCUGGGAACGUCCAGGGUUAUGAGUGCUGAAGAUAAUUCAGCAUUUCUCCAACUGCUCUUUCUCAAAACAUUCUACUGACAGAUGUUAACAGGAUGAAAACGUCCUUUGGUCAAAGAAGUUUGGGAGAACUGCUAUAUUCUCUAAUCCCUUCUUAAUACGUACAUAAACAUAUUUGAAGUUCUGAGGGUCUCACAUUUGAAAACCCAGUUAAAUUUAGUGUAGUCAACUUUUUAAAGCUUAUUUGCAUCUAGAAUGACCUGUGUGUAUGUGUGUGUUGCACCUGCUAAGGUCUCAUAGUUUGGUUUAUGAUGGAUCAGAUACUCAUUCACCUUACCACUACAUAAAAUAA